GAUGAACGCUGGCGGCGUGCUUAACACAUGCAAGUCGAACGAUGAAGCCCAGCUUGCUGGGUGGAUUAGUGGCGAACGGGUGAGUAACACGUGAGUAACCUGCCCUUAACUCUGGGAUAAGCCUGGGAAACUGGGUCUAAUACCGGAUAGGAGGGUCCACCGCAUGGUGGGUGUUGGAAAGAUUUAUCGGUUUUGGAUGGACUCGCGGCCUAUCAGCUUGUUGGUGAGGUAAUGGCUCACCAAGGCGACGACGGGUAGCCGGCCUGAGAGGGUGACCGGCCACACUGGGACUGAGACACGGCCCAGACUCCUACGGGAGGCAGCAGUGGGGAAUAUUGCACAAUGGGCGCAAGCCUGAUGCAGCGACGCCGCGUGAGGGAUGACGGCCUUCGGGUUGUAAACCUCUUUCAGUAGGGAAGAAGCGAAAGUGACGGUACCUGCAGAAGAAGCACCGGCUAACUACGUG
rnacentral:rRNA from 1 species